rnacentral:rRNA from 1 species
CCUACGGGGGGCAGCAGUGAGGAAUAUUGGUCAAUGGGCGCGAGCCUGAUCCAGCCAAGCAGCGUGAAGGAUGACUGCUCUUCGGGUUGUAAACUUCUUUUAUAAAGGAAUAUAGUGAGGCUCGUGUGCCUUUUUGUACGUACUUUACUCAUAAGGAUCGGCUAACUACGUGCCAGCAGCCGCGGUAAUACGGAGGAUCCGUGCGUUUUCCGGAUUUAUUGGGUGUAAAGGGAGCGUAGGUGGGUUGGUAAGUCAGUUGUGAAAGUUUGCGGCUCAACCGUAAAAUUGCAAUUGAUACUGGGAGUCUUGAGUACAGUUGAGGUAGGCGGAAUUCGUGGUGUAGCGGUGAAAUGCGUAGAUAUCACGAAGAACACCGGUUGCGAAGGCAGCUUACUAAACUGCCACUGACAUUGAUGCUCGAAAGUGUGGGUAUCAAACAGGAUUAGAUACCCUUGUAGUC